UUGGGAUAGCUCAGUGUAGAGCAAGAGUGCGUUU
rnacentral:tRNA from 1 species